rnacentral:rRNA from 1 species
CAGAGGGGGAUAACACUAGGAAACAGGUGCUAAUACCGCAUAACAGUUUAUGCCGCAUGGCAUAAGAGUGAAAGGCGCUUUCGGGUGUCGCUGAUGGAUGGACCCGCGGUGCAUUAGCUAGUUGGUGAGGUAACGGCUCACCAAGGCCACGAUGCAUAGCCGACCUGAGAGGGUGAUCGGCCACACUGGGACUGAGACACGGCCCAGACUCCUACGGGAGGCAGCAGUAGGGAAUCUUCGGCAAUGGACGAAAGUCUGACCGAGCAACGCCGCGUGAGUGAAGAAGGUUUUCGGAUCGUAAAACUCUGUUGUUAGAGAAGAACAAGGACGUUAGUAACUGAACGUCCCCUGACGGUAUCUAACCAGAAAGCCACGGCUAACUACGUGCCAGCAGCCGCGGUAAUACGUAGGUGGCAAGCGUUGUCCGGAUUUAUUGGGCGUAAAGCGAGCGCAGGCGGUUUCUUAAGUCUGAUGUGAAAGCCCCCGGCUCAACCGGGGAGGGUCAUUGGAAACUGGGAGACUUGAGUGCAGAAGAGGAGAGUGGAAUUCCAUGUGUAGCGGUGAAAUGCGUAGAUAUAUGGAGGAACACCAGUGGCGAAGGCGGCUCUCUGGUCUGUAACUGACGCUGAGGCUCGAAAGCGUGGGGAGCAAACAGGAUUAGAUACCCUGGUAGUCCACGCCGUAAACGACCACUACUGAGUGUUGGAGGGUUUCCGCCCUUCAGUGCUGCAGC